GACGAACCGUACGAACGUUAUUCGGAAUCACUGGGCUUAAAGGGUGCGUAGGCUGCGCAGCAAGUUGGGUGUGAAAUCCCUCGGCUUAACCGAGGAACUGCGCCCAAAACUGCUGUGCUCGAGGGAGAUAGAGGUGAGCGGAACUUAGGGUGGAGCGGUGAAAUGCGUUGAUAUCCUAAGGGACACCGGUGGCGAAAGCGGCUACACUGGAUCUCUUCUGACGCUGAGGCACGAAAGCUAGGGUAGCGAACGGG
rnacentral:rRNA from 1 species